AAGCAUUUUUGCCAUCUUCUAAUUUAAUCUCUAUGUUUUGGACAUCCAAAUACCCAACCAAAACAACACUAUUUUCCAAAAAGCUUGCCCAUGAGAGAGAGGGAGAGGGAGAGGGAGAGAAUGGGUUCAGAGAGCUGGUUUGCAUGGAGUAGAAUCUGAUCAAGAUGAUCACAAUCGUUGAUGGGUUUCAUCUCCACCGUAGUGUGCCUUAACAAAUCCAGCCGAAAAGCGUCCAUUCUGGGUUUCCGCAUGCAUCGAGUGGAAAAUCUAGAUCUCAGUCCUCUGUUCAUCCCUGUAGACACUGACAUGUAAGAUGGAAGCACUAUAAAUAGCCAACGUGGUUUCUUGUACAAAAAUUGUGGCAAACAGUAGUUUUAUUAUGGUUCGUUGUCCUCUGAUCUAGCAUUGGUGACCUGAUUUUGAAAGUUAGCCUGGCCUUGCCUCAUCCACCACAGCUUUGACCACGGAAUUCCUGCCUGAACCCUCGGAAACAGUCCUUCGAUAUUAAUUCCUUCUAAAUAUGUUUUCCAGUAAUAAUUUAUACAGUAUAUCCUUUCACCAAAUUGGCAUCCAAUUGCAGAGAGAGGGCGAGACAGAGAGAACAUGUCAAUACAGAGCCCGGUCUAGCCAUGGUUGAUUGGGGAGGAUACGUCUAAUGGCUCAUGGGUUCUUUUUCCACUCUUGUUGUAUGUUGGACAGAGCUGUCUCCUUGGUCCCGUUGCUAGGGAUGUGCAGACCUAUGAUUCGCAUAUGAUUCGCAUAGAAGUUCAAAGAUUUGUACAAGUUUUUAUCUACUUUCAAAAUUGUUUAUCGCAUAGACGCUCUGGUUUUUAUGUACUAGAAAGUACCGCAUAGAUGCUGUAGUUUUAAACUACAGCGUUUUAUAUUUA